GACGAACGCUAGCGGCGUGCUUAACACAUGCAAGUCGAGCGGAAAGGCUCCUUCGGGGGUACUCGAGCGGCGAACGGGUGAGUAACACGUGAGUAAUCUGCCCUGCGCUCUGGGAUAGCCACCGGAAACGGUGAUUAAUACCGGAUAUGACCGCUACACGCAUGUGUUGGUGGUGGAAAGUUUUUCGGCGCAGGAUGUGCUCGCGGCCUAUCAGCUUGUUGGUGAGGUAAUGGCUCACCAAGGCUUUGACGGGUAGCCGGCCUGAGAGGGUGACCGGUCACACUGGGACUGAGACACGGCCCAGACGCCUACGGGAGGCAGCAGUGGGGAAUAUUGGACAAUGGGCGGAAGCCUGAUCCAGCAACGCCGCGUGAGGGAUGACAGCCUUCGGGUUGUAAACCUCUUUCAGUACCGACGAAGCGAAAGUGACGGUAGGUACAGAAGAAGGACCGGCCAACUACGUGCCAGCCGCCGCGGUAAAAC
rnacentral:rRNA from 1 species